AACUCUAUAGUUUAAAAAAUAUUAAAUUGCAAAUUUAAAGUUACAUCUGAUUGUUAGAGUUU
rnacentral:tRNA from 1 species